rnacentral:rRNA from 1 species
AACUUUCAACAACGGAUCUCUUGGUUCUGGCAUCGAUGAAGAACGCAGCGAAAUGCGAUAAGUAAUGUGAAUUGCAGAAUUUAGUGAAUCGAAUCUUUGAACGCACAUUGCGCCCCUCGGUAUUCCGGGGGGCAUGCCUGUUCGAGCGUCAUUA